rnacentral:rRNA from 1 species
AAAAGGGCGCCCCAGAGGGUGACAGUCCCGUACAUGCUUGCGUGGGUCCGUCUACGGCGUAUUUUCGACGAGUCGAGUUGCUUGGGAUUGCAGCUCAAAGUGGGUGGUAAAUUCCAUCUAAGGCUAAAUAUCGGUGGGAGACCGAUAGCGAACAAGUACCGUGAGGGAAAGAUGCAAAGAACUUUGAAAAGAGAGUUAAAGAGUGCCUGAAAUUGCUGAAAGGGAAGGAAAGGAAACCCAGUGUAAUGCUGUGGCAUUUCCCCGCUGGACGUUGGACUGCGGUUGUGCCAUGGCGUUGGUCAAGAUGGGUUCGACUCGCAGGAUUAGGGUGAGAGGGAGGUGGUUCGCACUUCGGUGUGAAUGUUAUAUCCUUGCACCUUUGCUGUGGGUUGGACCGAGGUCAACCUUGCGCCUCUGGCUGAGCUCUGCUCAUGCAAGGUACGGAUCUUGACGAAAUGGUUUUCUUUCACCCGUCUUGAAACACGGACCAAGGAGUCUAACAUAUAUGCGAGUACAGGGGUGGCAAACCCCCGUGCGCAAUGAAAGUAAAGGGCUGCUUCUGCGGUCUGAGGUGGGAUCUGUCAAAGGUGCACCAUCGACCGACCAUGAUUCUUCGGAUGAAAGGUUUGAGUGUGAGCAUUUAUGUUGGGACCCGAAAGAUGGUGAACUAUGCCUGAGUAGGGCGAAGCCAGGGGAAACUCUGGUGGAGGCUCGUAGCGAUUGUGACGUGCAAAUCCAUCGUGGAAAUUUGGGGUAUAGGGGGCGAAAAGACUAAUCGAAACCAUCUAGUAGCUGGUUUCCCUCCGAAAAUUUCCCUCAGGAUAGCUGCAAACCUAUGCCAGUUUUUAUCAGGUAAAAGCGAAAUGAUUAGAAGGCCUCGGGGGGCGAAAUGCCCCUCGACCUAUUUCUCAAACUUUUAAAUGGGGUAAGAAGCCUGGGGGUUGCUUAAUUGAACCCCUACGGUCGAAUGAAAGGUUGCUAGUGGGGCCAACUGGGGGUAAAGCUCGGUUGGCGAUGCGGGAUGAUCCGAACGCUGAGUUAAAGUGCCAAACUACCCGCUCACCUAGAUCCCACAAAAGGUGUUGGUUCAUUUAGACAGCAGGACGGUGGCCAUGGAAGUCGGAAACCGCUAAGGAGUGUGUAACAACUCACCUGCCGAAUGAACUAGCCCUGAAAAUGGAUGGCGCUGAAGCGAGUGACUUAUACUCAGCCAUCAUGGCAAGUGCGAGGCCGUGAUGAGUAGGAGGGCGUGGAGUUCGUAGCGCAUCCUGUGGC